UUUUUUGAAACAAUAGUUAAGUAUUGAAUCUCUUCUUGCAUGAUAAAACAAAGGAAGCAGAAAGUCAAGGAGAUAAUGAGGUGGGGAAAGACUGCAAGACUAUAGAAGGAAACGCAAAGAAGAGGUUGAAACAAACGUUGCUUCCAGUUGCAAAGCCAUGGGAACAUAUCGACCAUGUUAUUAUGAAUCUCCCAGCUAAUUCUGCCUUGCAGUUUCUCGAUUUUUUCAGUAAUGUAAUUCAAGGGAAGUAUUGGAAAGGACCUCUGCCUUUAAUUCAUUGCUACUGUUUCAUUCGUGCAAGUGAAACCACAGAGACUAAUUAUAGCAGAAGCGGAAAACUGCUUUGAAGUUUCACAUAGAAGACGAGGUCUUCCACAAAGUCAGAGAUGUUGCUCCAAACAAGG